UGGGGAAUCUUGGACAAUGGGCGCAAGCCUGAUCCAGCCAUGCCGCGUGAGUGAUGAAGGCCUUAGGGUCGUAAAGCUCUUUCGCCAGGGAUGAUAAUGACAGUACCUGGUAAAGAAACCCCGGCUAACUCCGUGCCAGCAGCCGCGGUAAUACGGAGGGGGUUAGCGUUGUUCGGAAUUACUGGGCGUAAAGCGUACGUAGGCGGGUUGUUAAGUUAGAGGUGAAAUCCCAGGGCUCAACCCUGGAACUGCCUUUAAUACUGGCAACCUAGAGUUCGAGAGAGGUGAGUGGAAUUCCGAGUGUAGAGGUGAAAUUCGUAGAUAUUCGGAGGAACACCAGUGGCGAAGGCGGCUCACUGGCUCGAUACUGACGCUGAGGUACGAAAGUGUGGGGAGCAAACAGGAUUAGAUACCCUGGUAGUCCACACCGUAAACGAUGAAUGCCAGUCGUCGGGUAGCAUGCUAUUCGGUGACACACCUAACGGA
rnacentral:rRNA from 1 species